GCAUAUCAAUAAGCGGAGGAAAAGAAACCAACAGGGAUUGCCUUAGUAGCGGCGAGUGAAGCGGCAAAAGCUCAAAUUUGAAAUCUGGCACCUUCGGUGUCCGAGUUGUAAUUUGAAGAUUGUAACCUUGGGGUUGGCUCUUGUCUAUGUUUCUUGGAACAGGACGUCACAGAGGGUGAGAAUCCCGUGCGAUGAGAUGCCCAAUCCUAUGUAAGGUGCUUUCGAAGAGUCGAGUUGUUUGGGAAUGCAGCUCUAAGUGGGUGGUAAAUUCCAUCUAAAGCUAAAUAUUGGCGAGAGACCGAUAGCGAACAAGUACAGUGAUGGAAAGAUGAAAAGAACUUUGAAAAGAGAGUGAAAAAGUACGUGAAAUUGUUGAAAGGGAAGGGUUUGAGAUCAGACUCGAUAUUUUGUGAGCCUUGCCUUCGUGGCGGGGUGACCCGCAGCUUAUCGGGCCAGCAUCGGUUUGGGCGGUAGGAUAAUGGCGUAGGAAUGUGACUUUGCUUCGGUGAAGUGUUAUAGCCUGCGUUGAUGCUGCCUGCCUAGACCGAGGACUGCGAUUUUAUCAAGGAUGCUGGCAUAAUGAUCCCAAACCGCCCGUCUUGAAC
rnacentral:rRNA from 1 species